UACAGAGGGGGCAAGCGUUAUUCGGAAUUAUUGGGCAUAAAGGGCGCGUAGGCGGCCUGACAAGUGGAAGGUGAAAUCCCUCGGCUUAACCGAGGAACUGCCCUCCAAACUGUCUGGCUUGAGACCGGGAAAGGUGAGUGGAAUUCCCAGUGUAGCGGUGAAAUGCGUAGAUAUUGGGAGGAACACCAGUGGCGAAGGCGGCUCACUGGACCGGUACUGACGCUGAUGCGCGAAAGCGUGGGGAGCAAACGGG
rnacentral:rRNA from 1 species